CAGUCGCCGCGGUAAUACGUAGGGUGCAAGCGUUAAUCGGAAUUACUGGGCGUAAAGCGUGCGUAGGCGGUUUGUUAAGUCUGUUGUGAAAUCCCCGGGCUCAACCUGGGAAUGGCAAUGGAUACUGGCAAGCUAGAGUGUGUCAGAGGAUGGUGGAAUUCCCGGUGUAGCGGUGAAAUGCGUAGAGAUCGGGAGGAACAUCAGUGGCGAAGGCGGCCAUCUGGGACAACACUGACGCUGAGGCACGAAAGCGUGGGGAGCAAACAGGAUUAGAUACCCGAGUAGUCCCUGUCUCUUAUAC
rnacentral:rRNA from 1 species